GACGAACGCUGGCGGCGUGCUUAACACAUGCAAGUCGAACGGAAAGGCCCUGCUUGCAGGGUACUCGAGUGGCGAACGGGUGAGUAACACGUGGGUGAUCUGCCCUGCACUUCGGGAUAAGCCUGGGAAACUGGGUCGAAUACCGGAUAGGAGCCAUUUUUAGGGUGAUGGUUGGAAAGUUUUUUCGGUGUAGGGAGAGUUCGCGGGCUAUCAGCCUGUUGGUGGGGUAAUGGGCUACCAAGGAGGCGGCGGGUAGCCGGCCGGCGAGGGUGGACGGCCACAAUGGGACUGAGAUACGGCCCAGACUCCUACGGGGGGGAGCAGGGGGGAAUAUUGCACAAUGGGCGCGAGCCUGGUGCAGCGACGCCGCGUGGGGGAUGACGGGCUUCGGGUUGGAAACUCCUUUCGCUAGGGACGAAGCUUUUUGUGACGGUACCUGGAGAAGAAGCACCGGCUAACUACGUG
rnacentral:rRNA from 1 species